UAGUUAUAGCAAACUACAAAUCGUCCGAUUCCGUCCAUCGUCAAUAUUAAUCUCUUUAACAAGUUUUAAAGAUGGAAAUUUGUAAAGCUAUAUUUUUAUUUAUACAUACAUACAUAUAUGCAAAUUUUAUUUCUUUCGUAGGCGACACUGGGUACUCUUAGCUGCUAACACCCCACUUAUCCGCGACAGGCGGAUCUUCUUCUUCUUCUUUACUGGCGCAGACACCACUUACGUUAACAACAGUGCGCCAUUCGUUUCUUCUUUUCACAACGUGGCCCAAGUUGGAGACUCCAAGCGAAGCCAAGUCCUUCCCCAAUUGGUAUUUCCAAUGGAGUAGAGGUCUUCCUCUGCCUCUGCUUCCCACGGCGGGUAAUACGUCGAAUACUUUCACAGCUGGAGUGCUUUCAUCCAUUCGGACGACAUGAUCUAGCCAGCGCAGCUGCUAUCUCUUAAUUCGCUGAACUAUGUCAAUAUCGUCGUAUAUCCCAUACAGCACAUCGUUCCUUUGAAUGCGAUAUUCGCUCAAAGGAACAUAAAUCUUCCGCAGGACCUUUCUCUCGAAAACUAGUAAUGUCAACUCAUCAGAUAGCGAUACGGGAAUAAUGUAUAAGUCACUCAGUUAGUUUUGGUUCGUCGAGAGAGGACUAUAUAUCUCAAUGGCCUACUUAAUUCGAAGUAGCACCUGUUGGCAAAAGAUAUUCUGCGUUGGAUUUCGUUGCUGACAUUGUCGUUGCUGUUUAUACCGGUUCCAAGAUAGACGAAAUUAUCUACAACUUCGAAGUUAUGACUGUCAAAAGGAAUGUGGGUGCUUAGUCAGGAGAUAUUUUGUCUUGCCCUCAUUCAUUUCCUGAACCAUUUGCUUUGCUUCUUUAUCCAGUCUUGAUUGAAGAAGUCGCACGAUAGAGGGUUGCAUUGAAACUUUGUUUGGUAUCGAACGGCUCAGAAAGGUCCUUCCCGAUCCUGACGGAGCUUUUGGUAUUGCCCAACGUCAGUUUAGACAACCGUAUUAGUUUUGCAAGGAUACCAAAUUCAGACAUCGCGGCAUAAAGGCAGCUCCUUUUCGUGCUGUCGAAAGCAGCCUUGAAAUCGACGAAGAAGUGGUGUAUGUCAAUUCUCCUUUCACGGGUCUUUUCCAAGAUUUGGCGCAUGGUGAAUAUUUAGUUGGUUGUUGAUUUUGAGGUCUACAGUCGCACUGAUAAGGUCCAAUCAGUUUGUUGAGGGUGGUGGAUAGAACCUUGUAUUCGAUGAUAAAGAGACUUGCAUGUUCCUUAUCAGUUCUUCGCCACCGUGUUUGAAUAGCUCGGCCGGCAAACGUCUGCUCCAUUGUCAUCGAUAGGAGAUUCAAGUUCGCCUCCUCCUGGUGUUAUUCGGCGUUGAUGUCAGUCUUCAUUCUAACGAGGAAAUCAACCAGAAGGCAUCGGCGCCUUCUCAAGUAAGGAACUAGACAUUCCAGGUGCAUGCCCUUAAAUCGGAAUCCCUAACACUUUUGCAAGGGUCGUCAUCAAAAGGGGUCUCUCAUCCGGAGCAGUUUGCUUCUUUUCCUUAUUAGUGUUUUUUAUGUGGCCUGUAGAGGGGAUGCCUUCUCAAUUUAGCUCGCUUUCAACCGAUGUCCUUUGGCUACCCAGAGGAUACUUGGUCUAGGACCGGAAGACGUGAGCUGCUUGAGCCAUUUUUAAAAGAAUCGUUUCUGGCCACUCCUAAGUGAAUGGCAAUCAGAGAAUCUCACUUGUGUGAACUUCUACACAUGGCUCCAUCCUCCAGAUGGAUCUUCAGAAAGUAUUCAAUCAAUAGACAAAAAUAGCGCCACUUAAGGCUGAUCAUAUAUGUAGCGAGGCAAAAAAAUAUAUUUUGUAAUGUUAGUUAAACGCUCAACCUGAAAACUGAAUUAACAUUCAAAUUUUAAUUAUUAAAUACCUUGAAUAUAUUAUAGAAAACUACAUAACUUUUUACAUGUUUGCACUGACAAAAUUCAAGAUAGGAUAAGGCCAUGGGAAGAUCACAAUUUGGUCCGACUUCUUAAACGAUUUAUAACAAAACUGGGAAUUCAGAAUUUAGAUUAGUUCGAUUGUUAAUGUUUUUUUAGUUAUAUAGUAUACUACUGACUGUAAAAUUUUCCGAAACCAUUUUAUAAACUAAAAUUUUCUUGAAGAAAAAAUAUUGCAUUAUCAUCUCAUUGAUGCCUACUUUUUUGUAUGGUUAAAGGUAAGCAAAUAUUUGCCGAAAAAUUGCAAAAAUAAAUUCCAUAUCACCGUUUCCUCCACUUCAAAUCUAAAUAUUCAUAUUUUGUUUGCAUUAUUUGUCCAAGCGGAGCCACAUACUUUAAAAUGGUGUCAUUUUCAACACGAUAAAAUUUUAAUAUAACAUCAAGUGGCUGCUGUUAACAUUUAUAAGCUGCUGAGUACUACUAUAAGUGCAAUUUAAUAUCGCACUUGAUGUUUAGUAAUAACGCAAAAAUAUUUCAAAUGUUAACAAAUGCCAACAAUUAUAGUAAAACAAACAAAUUUGUCGCAGUUACGAACACAAACGGUUUCUGGCAUUUUCAAGUGCACUUCAGGCGUGUCGACAAGUUCAGUUUAAUUUCAAAUAAAUUGCAUAGUAUAAUUUAAUUUUUGCAUAAAAUAAAAAUUAGUCCAAAUAUAUGUAUAUUUUUGACCUGCACCGAGAUGUGCACUCAUUAUUAACACUAUUAAGAUAUGAACCUUACUGCUAUUUGUACUAAUUAGUAUGUUUACUUAUUACUAGUUGAAAGUUUGUUUACAUAUAAUAUAUUGUUUGCUUUUAUACAUUUGCUUUAUUCUAGGAUAAGUUUGUUUUCAAGUUUUUGUUUACUUAAACUCAAGGCUGUUUUUGUUUGUUUAGAGUAUUUUGAUAAGAUAAUUAACUCUCCCAUCUGUUAAAAUUAAAUAUCCUCAUUUCAAAGCAUAUAGGUGCACUUUUCCACCCGCAUUUCCAAUUCCUCCUGCAAAUGCUCAAUUGAGUUGAGGUCUGGAGAUUAUGGUGAAUGGGACAAUAGAUGUGCGAUGUUAUAGGUUAACAACAUUCUUAAGUUAUGUCUUGGUCACAUUUCAUGGGUUUGGUAAAUUUAGUUUUUGGGGAUUUUUUUCAAAAUUUCCUUCAAUAUAUGUAUUUAAUUAAACCGUUUUGUCCCUAAUGUCUUAUAUGAAUACCAGCACAUCCAAACCUGCAGCAGACAUGUAUCUUCACACCAUCACCCUCAUAUUUCACUGUUAGAGAAAGAUUUUGUUUUUAAAAUUCAGUGUUUGGCUUUCUCCAUACUGAAGUACGGCCGUCGCUCCGAAAGAUAUUGUACUUACUCAUCUGAGAAGAGUAUUUGAUCCCAAAAUGUAGAUGACACUCUUUCGCGUAGUCUAGGCGCUUCUUCUGGUUACGUGAAAAUAUCGACUAAAUUUUUCGGGCAACACGCGAGUCGCAUGAAUUACUCUUCUAACGGUCAUGACAUGAAUAUCCUCUCCAAAUACAUUUUUUACCUCAGCAGAAAUCUGCGUAUAUGAUACUCGUAUUUUCGGAUCUAUUUUUUUUAGUUUGUUGCAUUUCACAAUCACUUAAAACGCAAGGACGACAGGUAUGCGCAGUACCUUUUAAACAUGAUGCUCCUUUAAAACGCUCUAUGAUAUUGGUUGUGCAGAUAUCAAAUAAUUUUUCGCUGAGAAAAUAGUAGAUUCUUUUUGUUUUGAAGGCAUUUUUAUAAGAAAAGUGGUAGUUAAAUAAUGGACUUAACAAAGAAAAUAUGUUUACACAAAAUAACCUAUUAGUCUGCUUUUAAAAUAGCUGUAAAACACAAAAUGGACGCUGUGCCAAAAAUUAUGUGAAGUUUUAUUUUCUCUUAUGAUUUAGUUUUGCUAGCUGAUGUUUUUUUAAAUUCGUUGUAUUACUUUUACUAAAAUUUAGUGUGGAAAAAAUCUUUAAUUUUACGGUGUGUUAAAAUAAACAAAUAAAGAAGUGCUAAAUUCGAAUGCAAAUUUAACUCUUGCCAAGCAAUUUUCUGUAUAAUAUAUAUAAAUUAUACACCGCCCUACAUAUUCGCCAUAAGGUUUAUGAUAAAAACGAAAAUUAUUAUAUGUAGUAUAUCGUCACCUGAAAUGCAAAUUAACGUAACAACAUUUUCAGAAAUUUACAGUGGCAUGAAUGAAACACGGAAUAAAAUGGAACAUGAGUGAAACAAAAUAUUAAUAUUGGUUAAAACUGAUUUAUAUAUGACCGCAGAACCAGAAAAUGUUGAACAUGUUUAAUUUUAUGUAUAUAAUUUGAAGUAGUGAAGCGUAAUCAAUAAGACACUCAAUUUCGAAUUUUUUAAUGAUACGUUAUUUUGCAUUUCAGGUGACGAUAUGGAUAUAUGGGAGUUAUUGGUAUGCCGUAUACUAAAAAAUGUUCCCUGGGUUUCAUUAAGGUACCUCACACAGUCACCUAUCAUAUGGAGUAAAGCCAGCCAUAUGUUCGAAAGUCGUGAAAUUAGUUGUAUGGAGCCUAGGUCAAGUUUUCGCCGAAUUUUAUCUAUUUUAUUCACAACCCGUCAUAAUGCAUCGCAAAAUCAUAAAAUUAUAAAUGUUUACUGUGGUUUGAAAAAUUGUUGUUGGAUUACAUACAAAAAUGAGUUUGCAGAUUUACAAUCCUCAAUGCUUUGUUUUCGGAUCGUUAUAACUUAUAACUUUAUGAGACUAUGUGAAACCCCUAACUAUUACGAGCAAAACAUGCUCUCUCAUUUUGAUUACUCAAAUAUUGGCCGACAUAUAUGCAGUAUAAAGUCAUCAGGAAGUUUGAAAAUCUUAACAUAAUAACAAACAAAUAACAGUGCUUAUCCUCCAAGGAGACUGGUUGUCAGCAAGUUUGAUUGAUUUAAUUUUAGGCGUUUGAGAUAUACAUAUGUAUAUACUUUCAAGUAUCUUAAUUUGUGGAUUAGUUAUGUCCUCUAUAGCUUUUUGGGCUUUAUUACGAUUCUUUUGGCGGCGCGAUUUGACGAUUUGUGUGUUUACAUUAUGACAAAUAGCAGUGUUGCCUACUUUGUGUCCUGAAAAAUAAUCAAAAAAUUGUCUGUUUCAUCUUCAGAGAUAUAAAUGGUUCAAAAUGAACAGAAAGGAGUUCGACACAAAAGAACUAUAAACACUCCCAUGUUAGACCGACCAGGGUUAUUUUUUUAUCUUUAUGUAUCAAAUAACAUAAGAUACAAAAUUCAUUUGUACCAUUGUCUCUAUAUAUGUUAAACAGAUAAUUUCUUGAUUAUUUUUUCAAAACACAAUAUGUGGCAGCACUGGUAUUUGUCAUGUCAUGUAAAUAAACCAACUAUGAGGGUGAAUUGCAUAUAAAAUUGUGGAGCUUUAAAUACAAAUAUCUCGAAAACUAAGUUUGGGGAGGGUAUAUUUGUAUUUUAUUUAUUUAUUUUAAUAUGACCUGUAAAUAAAUUAACAGACGUACUAGAAAAAAAGAACUGGCCUUCGUCCCAUUUUGUACUUAUAGGUACAUAUUAAUUUACCUAUAUGAAUAUUUCAACACUAAAUUAAUUUUAAUAGUAUAGGAGGUAUAGCGGUAUGCAAAUCAACAUUUUACGAUGUGUCAUUGUAAGUUUAUUAGGUGUUGAAUGCCCUGCCAACCACGGCUACCCACUUUUGUCAAAUGUUUCAAUACAACUAGUCAUUUUUUUCUAUGCACUAAACCCAUUUUCGGGUUAUUUUUUGUUUACCUAAAUGCGAUGAAAAAUGUUUCUUUCAUUUCUUGAUUUAUUUGAAUGAGUGCGAAGGAGAAAACAUAAUUGUCAAUAGUGUCAAAAGAAAAUCCCAAAAAGGGUAAUAAAAAAAAAACGAUUGAAAGACGCAUGUCAUAUGCUGAUUACAAUGCUUACGACACGACACGACAGUACGACAGUGAACUGAAAAUGGUGUUGUGCAUCUUACUACAUGAACAUUCGUAAGAAUGCAGCAACAUAACAAUGGCCGGCAUGUACACAAGACAACGCAGUUGUCCAUUUUGCAUGUACACAAUUUCGUUGUGGCCAUACUAAUACCUUGCAUUUCAAUGAAAUUUUAAUAUUUUGUUCAAAGUGAAAUUUUUUAUGCAAAAAAUUUGUAAAUAGGUAAAUUUAUUUGUUUUAAAUUAUCAAUUGUUAUUACAAAUGGUAAAAUAGAGCUAUUUUAUGCUUUUAUUUGUAAAAUAACGUCAACUUUGUAAGAGCUGUGAAUAAUUUUACAUUUUACAUAUUAGUGGCAUCACCACUCUUCAUCAUCUUCCAUUCUACUGUCAACUCUACUGUCGUCCUACUUUCGUUGCCAAAUAUAGGAAAAUAUUGAAGUUAGCGAGAACGACAACCGUCGGCCUAGUCGUGCAGCUGUCAAAAUAACAGUGUCCGUAAAAACGUGUGUAUUUUAAUAUUUGACAGAUGUCGUUUGUCGUCUGUCGUCGUAUUGUAUUCAGUACUUCAUUCGUGAUCGUCCGAUCGUCCCAUCGUAAAGGAGGCUCGUACAACAAGAAAGUAACAUUGAAAAUCAGAAUGAAUUGGAAAUAGCAGCAGCAGCAAUAUCAUCAGAAGCAGAAAAUAUCAAUUGUUAAGUUCGUAUCUCUGGACUGACAAAUAAAACCAAAAGCCGUUUAAUUCACUUCAACAAAAUCUCUUUAUUUUACAACUCGUCUACACUAUAUCAGUUUACUCUUAGCACUGGUUGAUUACGUUGGCGCUGCCACGGCUUAUAUAGCCACGCACUUCUCGCUGAUGCCGACGUGUCCUUCUAGAAUAUUGCGUCUGGAAAUUACAAGAACAUAAUGCUAUACGGCGCCAAAUGCAGACAAGCAGACAGCCGCGGCGCCAGACUCAGCAUUUGUUCAAGCAGACAGCUGCGGCGCCAGAUGUCUAUUGUUUCGACAAGCAGACAGCUGCGGCGCCAGAUGUCAACAACAAAACAAAUGCUAUUCCAUAUACCUACAGCUAUUGUUCAUAAUAAGGGAUGCAUAUAGCAAUACAAAUACAACUUAAUACUACUUUUUGUAACAAUAUUUAUAUUUUCUUUCAGAUGUUAUUAUUAUUUUUAUUUAAUUAUUCUUUCUUUUCAGAUUUUAUCACUACUUUUAUUUAAUUACUCUUUGCUUUCAGAGUAAAUUUUAUUUGUAUUUAAUAUAUUUUAUUUUUAUUUUUUAU